UGACUGCUCACGGCCUCUCCCUCGUGGUCGUAACUCCAUUUAGUUAAGCAUUUUAAUCGAAUAUGACUUGAAAAUGUUUUAGUCCGUUUUUGAAAAUGCCUGCUGCUUAUGAAUAUUGUUGUCAGAAACCAAAGGCCAAGGUCGGAAACGGCAAAUGCAGUUUUCUUGUUGGAUGGCAGAUAGCCGAUGCCAAUUGUUGACAACCAUUAUGCUGGACGAGAGAAAUUGAGGCUGGUAGAUGAUGCCAACAGUUGACGACCAAUCGGUUGGAUGGAAGAAAUUAAGGCCAGUAGAUGAUGCCAACAGUUGACGAUCAGUUGGUUGGAUGAGAGAAAUUAAAACUUGUAGUUGAUGCCAACAGUUGACAAUCAAAUGGUUGGAUGAGAGAAACCAGUUGCGUUGUAGCAGAUGCCAUCAUUCAGCUAACAAUAGGUAAUUUAAGUUAAAGCCUUUUGUACAUUAUUGCAUGUCAAGAUAAACCAUUUGACUAGAGUCUCUGAUUUCCCCAUGAAGCUCUUCAUAGUGCACUGAACACAUGCUGUACAAAAUAAUGAGUGGUUUGUUGUGGCUUGAAUGAUCCUGAAUGCUUAAAUAACUUUCACAGUUUGGCUCAAACUGAAGCUGCCAGAUAGCUGAUGCCAACCAUACACAGCCAAUGGGUUGAAUGGAACAAAAGCCUGCUGGCUGAUACCGAGUUGACACAAUGGGCAAGAAAGAUCGUCAACGAAAGCUUCACAAUUAGGGUUUUCAACUUCAGGGUUCGAAGCCAACAUGGAUGUGUUGGAUCCAUGAAUCUGCUUAAAGGUUGACGAGAUGCCAGUGAUGGGAUGCUGCAUACACUUGAAUGCAGAGCCGUGUAAAUACUGGUUCAGUAAACCUAGCUCUUUUUCUUGUGUUAAUGAUGACUGCGUUUGUUCGGUUCCACUGAAACUCAAUGAAGUAACUUUCUCGCGGCGCACUGAAACACUGACAGACAAUGCACAAACUUUUAUUUUCAUGUCUUGUCGUCUAAUACAAUUUUGUUUUGUUUUAAGGAUGUGACCGAAGAGGAGCUGUGACCGGUUUGCUGCACAAUGGUGAAUUAAGCUAAUGUGUAUCAAUUUAAAUGCUUGUUUAGUGGCAUCCAGUAGACUGUUUGAGUUAAUUGAUCAUUUUCAGUUUUAUAAACUGCAUUUUCAUUUGAGUUGUACUUGCUUUUAAUAAACAUCAGAAUAACAGUGAAAA